GUCAUCAGAAGGACUGAGGUUGUGUGAACCACCAAUAUCAUAGCAGUUAAAGGAAAGAAGAGGACAGAGUGAAACAGACUCACAGAAUGGUUUAGGUUGGAAAGGACCUCUGGAAGUCAUCUGGUCCAAACUCCUGCUCAAGCAUGGCCACCCAGCAGGCUACCCAGGAUCACGUCCAAAGUAUAUACUCUUAUGUUUGGAUGUUCAGUAAGGAAAUCUCAGGCUUAAGAAGAGUUUUGUGACAAAGAUAUAGUUCAGCACUUUUCCAGUAACAAAGGAAACAUGAGCAGUACACACAUAUCAGAUACUUCAGUCUCGUGAGAAGCUGUUUCUGCAGGGUUUCCUGGACAGGAUCAAGAACCACUGGAAAUAUUCAGAUAAUUUACUGGAAAUCAUGAAAGCAGACUGUCUGGCAGGUUCUGUUUUGAAUAAACUUUGGAUUGAAAGUGAACUUUUUGGGUGGUGCCAUGCUCUUCUGACAACCAGCUCUGUGGCCACUGUCACAUCCCACCAGGACGCUGAAACCGAGUCACUGUGAGGAGAAUCCUGGGAAAUAGCCUAUGCCUUGCGGGGAAAAAAAAAAUGCCAGAGUGCCUUGAAGUCCAGAUCAACACAGACUGGUGAUCCUACUACCUGCCACCUACAGAGCUGCUUUUUGGAUCAGUUCUCCCUGGAAAGAGCCAUCCUCAAUCCUGAUAAAAGGUAAUUCUGAACAGUACGAGUGAAGGGAAGACAUACUUCUGUGGAAUGCAAGCACAAAUGAGGAAAAAUGUGUGUGGUAAGUUCUAAGAGAGAAUAAGCUUGGUUCACACAGAAAUGCAGUUUUUACAUACAUUAUCAUGGAUGAACAAAGGAAGAAGGGGAUUUGAUAAAUUAUAAACGUCUAUACAUGUAACAGCUUACUGCAGUAUCUGGGAAGUUUGCGAUGUUUGUUGGAACAAGUCAACAAGUGACAAAUAUGGGUAGAAUGCAAGAGACAGAUUAAAGCUCGUAAUACAAAAGUAAUUUACUAUGCUGAAUAAACAUCAUAAAUCAUAAUAUAGGAACAUUUCUCAACCAAGCAGAUUCAAUAUUCCUUUCUUAUGUUCUACCUUUUCUAAAAACCUAGAAUAAUCUUUUCAGUGUUCUGCACUUCUUAUUAUGAAUUUUUGCCACAUAUCCAGUUUAAUUUGUCCAUAUACCAUAUAUCUUCUUAAAUAACAGAUUCCCUUUUUUUCCUUCUUCCUCCAUUACUUAAAACUUAUCAUCUCUUUUCUAAUCACGGUUGACUUUUGACUGAGACGAGCCUCCCAAGUACUGAAAAAUAUCUGAAAUCCUUCUCUGCCUCUUAUAAAAGUGGUAUUUUGCUAAUUCACAGGAUCUUUCUAAAUUUGAAUGAGACCUUGGCUUUCAUCAGUUCUGUUUCAGUGAAAGCAACCUCUUGCUCAAAGAUGAGUAGCCCCCAAAAAGGGGAAUUUAUAAGCUUCAAAUUAUGAAGAAAAUUUAUAAAAAAGAACAUUAGUUAGAUUUAGGUAUCUUUUGAGAAUUUUAAUAAGAAAAGUCAUGAAGCUUAUGAAAGAGAAGAAGUCAUAUAAUAUACAAUGAUCCUUCAGGGGUAUGACCUUUUCUCCCCCUUUGCAUGUAACUUUAAUAGGAGUCAAGCGCAAACCAGGAUAAGGAAAUAGAUGUUUCAGCUAGUCUUUUAAAAGCAAUUUUCCUGGAUUAUAGAUGUUUUUCCAGUGUUUUCAAUUAUCAUAAUAUGUUAAAAAUAUUAGUCCCUACUUAAGGACUACAUAAUACCUUUACAGGCAUUUAUUUCUCUUCCUGGUCUUUAGCAUAGAAUAUAUGUGCCAUAUUAAACAAGAAGGAUAUACUGUACCAUGGAUGUCCUGGUUAGUUAUAGUAAGAAAGCUUUACUAACUGAGUUGCUCUUGGAAACAUGUCCAGAAUUAUCAAUAACUACUGAAAAAAUAAGCAGGAGUAAAAAAAGAGUUGUCUUGCAAUGACUUAAAAGAAGAUACUGUCAGUCUGUAUAGAAUGAAACUAAACGUAGACAAACAUACAUAGCACACUGAAGGUUUGUCCAUCAAUUUUUCCUGCUGUUUAGCAGGAAGAGAGAUAGAUAGAAAGAAAAAAUAUGCAUUGAAAAAAUAUAUUUUGCUUUUCACAUCACUUACAUUUGUAAAGUUCUUUCAGGUUUUCUAAUUUCUCAAAUAUUGUUGUUUGUUUAAUCUGAUCAUUAAAAAAAAAAAAAAGAAGGGUUUCAGGCUUUUGAUAUUAAUGUGAAAAACAAAUGACUGGUGUAUGAGUAAAUAGUAAUUAUAUUUUUAAUAUGGUUGAGCAGAGCUGGUAGCAAUUCAACACAGUUGUGUGAAACAGAACAGUAACUGAAGGGAAUGUUUUUGGUUUUUUUUAUGAGAGUCGUUACAUGAUAUUUUAAUUCUCUUUCACAAAACCUCUAUUUUUCUUUGCCUUAUUUCUUGAUUGUGCAAAAAUUAAGCAAUUUCUAUGAAGCUCCCAUGUAGUAGCAAUCUUUGAAGUCAAAAGGACAUUACAUUUGUUCUGCUGCUCAGUGUGAUCUGGAAAUGCUUUCAUGGCAAGCCGUAAACACACUGAUCGAUGAAUGUGUAAAACAGGGGUAUGAAAAAUGUUUGGCAUCUUCCAUGACUUGUCUUGAAGAACCAAACAUCUUUUGCCAUAGAUUUAUGAAAUUUAUUUGUUGUACAUAUUUUUCUUCACUUUGCUUUGAAAAACUUUGACAGUGGUAAAGACUCUGGAACAAAGAUAAAACCUGGGUAUGCCAUUGGAAGGCUUCUCAUUGUUUCAGAUUGUAAUUUGAUGACCUCUGGGAGAAACUUAAGAGAAAGUUCAUCAGUAAAUAAACUUUGUUUCCAUGAAGUGUUAAGAAGAAAUAUCUUCAAGAAAAGGACAGACAUGGCACUGAAAGACAUCAUUUAGUGGUCAUAGUGGUAAUCGGUUGAUGAUUGGACAAGAUGAUCUUAGUGGUCUUUUCCGACCUUAAUGAUUCUAUGAUUCUGUGACUCAAUGAUUAAAUGAUUCUGUAAGUCUUUGAAACAUCUUUCCACUGAAAAAAUGUUAAUGUUGUAGAAAGAAAAUAUAAAUAUUUUGACUUUGGGAAUUCAGUUUUUAAAGAAAAGAUAAAAUAUUUCAUUGAAUGCUACAUUUUCUUAAAAUAAAAAAAUAAAAAAAAGAAAGCCUGUUAUUCAGCUAUGUGGAGGGACCAAAUCUCAGUUGAGGGCUUUGGAAUGCUGCUGUGCAGAAAAGUGGUGUUCCACUUUUCACAGAGUAUGAAAAGCAUACUUAUGUUUUCUUUGUAGACAAGAGUAAAAUUUCUGAGCAUUUGUAUGAACUCCAUAUGAGUUCUCAGGAGCUGACUGAUUUAUGUCAUCUAUUGCUCUGGAUAGUAUACGACAGACUCCUUGCCUAGUGGUGGUAGCAUUUCAUUAUAUUUAAGAGACUGGAGAAUGUUUUCAAGUCUGUGAAUGUCACGGCAUUGAAUGGUUUAUGUAGGUAAUAAAUCCCAUGAGAUCCAGAGACACAGAAACUUGAAAAUGCAGAAACUUGAAAUAAACUAUAAAUUUAAAUGUAUUUAGAUAAGUUACUGUGUUCAAUAUGCAGAAGAAAGGCUGGUUUUCAUAGAGCGAUAUUUGUACCAAUGUUACAAACAUUAAAUAUUAGAAGGAGAAACUGUGAAUGUAGGAAUUUCUAAAGUAUUUGGCAUUGGCCCAGGUCUGCAGGCAUUGAAGUUAUUGGAAAAUUCUUCCAUUGUAUUAUCUAGUUAGGCUAAUACUGAAUGCUUUUAAAUACCUCCUGUAGUUGACUUGAUAGAGGCAAGAUUUAUGCAUCAUAAUACAAAAAUGAACAAAUUUUGUUCAUUUACACUUUGAGUAAAAACCUGAGUCUGAAGAAAGAGCCCUUCCAAUUCUCCCAUUUAACUCUUCCCGUUACUACUGAAGAAUUGCAAUAAUUUAAACAAUUAACAGACUGAGCUCACUCAAAAUUUAAUAAAAGCAAAAACAUUUUUUUUUCAAAUAUGAAAAUAAUCUAUUACAUUUUUGCUAUUAAUUUCUUCAUCAUUUCACAUAAUCUUAUAAAAGCCUUGGUCUGGGUGCUUAACUGAAAUACAGAAAUAUGGUUGUGAAUAUAAAAUGAUAGUAUUCAAUAGCUCUGUAGAUCCAAGAGCUGUGAGAAACAUCUACAAGUUUUAGGUUGCCCUUUCUUAGCUUUUCCUUUACAUACAUACUAGUGUAAGUAAGUUGUUGUAAGUUUUGUAAGGGAAUGCUCAAGCCAUGCAGACUGAGUUGAUACAUGAAAUGUGAGGUGAGAAAAAAAGGAUGUAAUUCAAAACCUUUAGCAUUUGUUUGGAUACUUGUUAAUAUCUCAAGGGCCUGUAUAUUCUUCCAAUGCAUUAGGAAGCAUUAGUCAAACUCCUUAAGUGCUGUAUUGUACUGAGUGUUGCUAUAUUGAAAAUAGUAUUUCUAACAUAUAAAGAAUUACAUUGUAAUGUUAAAAGGUGUUUAAUCAAGCUUAUCUAAGAGCUUUUUUUCUCUUCAGCUUAGACAAUAAGAUAGUUAGUGUCUAAGAUUUUUAAAUGUUAGCAUUUUCAGUUGGACUCUCAAAAUAUGACUUAAACUCUACUUAGUAAAAUACAGUUUAAAAGAUAACCAAGAGAACAAACAGAAAACAAAAAUCUUCUGAAAUGUAUGAGAUUGCCAGUUCUUGUAAAAUGUUCAUACUAAUCGGCUAUACUAAUUCAACUGGAUAGCUCCCCCAAUUUUAUUUUUAGUAGCAAAUAAAUAGAUUAUUAGGAAUUUUCCAAGCAGAAACUAUCCACAAAAGAAAGAAGCAGAAAAUUAGUAACAAAGCCUGAGCAGUGAUCAGCAACAGCACUUCAGUUUUUCUUAAUGCUUACUACCAAAACAAAACAAAACAAAGAAGAUAUCACAGAAACAUCAGGUUUCAUGAGAUGUUACAGGUUUGUGAUGUGGAUGGGAUAAUACUCUCAUAUCCCUUAUUUGACAAGAUGAUCUGACCUCAUUUGGCCUGGAGAUCUGGCCUUUCCAGAAGCUGUCUCAGCACAGUGCUGAGCAGGGCUUUGGGAGGGAGGACCACCACCAGCAAAGGCGAUAGGAAAGACCUGUUCCUGCCAUAGAGAGGAGGCACAGGUCCCAUGGUUCCCAUUUCCCAGCGAUCAGCAGAGGAAGGUAAAGGUAGAACCGAGUAAAAUGAGGCAACCUGCUCCAGAAAAGGUAUAGAGCUUGGUGCUCAGAUGCCAUCAGUGCAUUUUGUCUUUUCUGGGAUGCCAUUUCUGUUGCAUCUGAUCAUCAGUAAUGAAGUCUAGGAAUGAAAUUGCUUUUGAUCUCUGCUGAUGUGAACAUUACUAACACAGCAUUUAAAGAUAAGGCAAGGUAAUUUUAGAGAUGUCUCCUGCAGAUACCCAGAAUUGCAAAGAUCAUUAAUCUUUCUUCACUUCCCAGUUCUUCCUACAGGGACUCUCUGUUUUCUCAUGAAGUGAUCAAAAAAUUCCCUAAGGAAGUCUGUCAGAAAGAGCAUUUUGAACCUCAUGUUUUUCUCAGAGCACUUCUAGCCCAAGGAUGGCAGCUAGCACAGUGGGAGCAGGAUUCCAGCUACAUCAUUUUAGGUCAUGUCAUGUUGUGGGUCUUGCUUGGGCAUCUUAAGGCAUGCACAGCUCUGCCUCCUUUAUGACCAAUCAAGCUCAUAAGUAGGUAUCCAAGGUUCUCUGUGCCUCAAGUACCCCUGUCUUCAUUUUCUCACUUCUUUAUGAAAUUAGUAUUGUUUGACAUACUGCCUAGAAAUUUUAGAAUAUGGAUAGAAAGUUAGAAGAAAUUACAGAUUAAAUUGCCUGAAAUUAUAACUGCAAACAUGACAUAAAAUAUCUUUAAUUUAAGGUAUGGCCUUACUAGUUUUACUCAGUAAAUUUCUGCCAGUAAAAUGGUAUCUAAGCAGAGAAGUUCAGUUCUAUGGCUUCCUUAUGUCUCCCUCUUUAGAAUCUCAGAAAAACCUUGAAAUACAACUGGAUUUGGUUCAGCCAAAGUUACCGGUUACUUAUGCUUGUUUCCUUGAGCUUCCCCAACCUUGGGCAGGGUCUGCCAGGCCUGCUAGCACAGGGGGACCAGGGCUGCAGCCAGCCAGGGUGAGGAGAGAAAAAGAUGUGAGCAGAGGAAGGGGAGACCAAGUGGGAAAUGUCCCACCUAGGUGUUGCUUUUACUGAGAUGAAUCUGUAGCCAGGCUCUACCAGGGAUAAGUCAGAAAGCAGAAACAACUCUGUCAGAAACUUCUGAGAUAGAAAAGAUUCUGCAUCUCAAUCAAGCUAUUUUGGAUGUAGCUCUACUUUCUUUUCUUUCUUCUUUUCAUUUUGUCUUUGUUUUGUCACUUACAUCUCCCUCUCCAAUCCAUCCCUCAAGUAAAGUUUGGAGAGCUCUGUUGUUCUUUAUUCAAUUCUAAAUGCACAAGUAAUAUCUUGGUAAAAUACUCAGUUCUUCCUGAACAAGCUUUUGUACCCACCCCAAGAUCCUUUCCUUGCCAUCCACAUUGGCUGUUGAGAAAUUUCCUCUUAUUAUGCACUGAGUAGAUGUAAAUCUAUUUAGCAUAAUAGCAGUAGAUUUUCCUGCCAUGUAUUACAGUACUGGAAACCUUUUAAAUAUCCACAAAGCUGAACCAUUUUAUAAUCAUCUCUUCUGUUCUCCUUAGUACCUCAAAAUAAUUUCUGAGUUGAGCCAGCUAAUAUCCUCCUGCUUAAGUGUUUCUGAAACCACUUCAAUUGUGUGUGCACUGAGGGAGGGUUUCCUCCGCACUUUCUUCUUCCAUCCCUGUCAUUCAAUGUUCCAGUCCAAUGAUUUUUCCAUUUCUGUUUCCAGUGAGCUCAUUUUAAAGUUCCAAAUGGCUCUUUACAUUUAUAUCCUCUGUUCAUUUCUUUCAUUUCCAUUUCUUUGCUUUCUUUUUUUUCAUGUCAUUAUUCAUAUUAGGAUGUGCCACUAUCUUUCAUCUAACAUGUUACACCCCAUUUUUUUCCCUCUAUGUAUCUGAAAGCCUUUAAAAGUGCAUUUUGACUUCUGCAAUCAAUUUGCUAUCCUUUUUCUUUUUCCAGAAAAGAAUCUUUUUUCUCCUUUUACUUAGAAAAAUCAAGAAUUCCUAAACACGAAAUUGCUCACAGGGUAGCAAUCUCAACUUAAUCUUGUAAAGUUUUAAGAAAAACAUAUUCUGUGUCUAAAAAAAAAAUGAGAUACGCACAGCCAUCUUUUCUUAGAUGUCAGCUUCCAGCCUGAUCUUGACAUAAGAAUUCAUUUUUGAAUUAUUUUAUUUUACUGUUUAUUCUGUAUCUUGAAUGAUAAUAAAGAUAAUAAAUUAGUACCGAGAGAUUCAUUUCCAGCCCAAACGGAAUGGAAUGUGACAGCCAUCCUAGGAGAACAGAGGAAAAUGGGUACUACAUUACAAUGGAUUUGCAAAGUCUGCUUUUCAAUGAGAUGUCCUGAAAGUACAACAAAUAUUUCACACUCGAAGGAUCCAUAGCAUGAACUGCUCUAAGAAUGGAUUUUAUUAAUUAAGAUCCAAACUCAGAAAAAAAUGUUAAGCAAACGCUGAAGUCUGUGAGCCAAGCACACAAAACAGUGUUGGCAGAUUUCAAAAUUAGAGAACCUCAAAGGAGUAGGACAGAUAGGAGGACAAUGCAUUCUCUACUGGUGAUAAUAAAUCAUACAUACAUGUUACAUCUGUAUGAAAAGACUAAUGAUUAUAGAUGUUUCCAGAAGCCAAUGGAAAUGUUACUUCAGAUUCUACUUUAUUAUAUAUUUAUUCCUAUGCCUAUUUGGAAAUUAUCGCCUAUUUCUUCUCUUCCUGGUCCAGAAAUUAGCUGUACUCUGAAAGAAUUGAGAUAACUUGUUGUUUCCAAAAAUGUUCCAGUUGAGAAAAUUGGGCCUGGGUUGUAGUUCUCUUCUGGGAGGAUUGAAGUGCUGCAAAUUGGAAGGAAAUGCUGGAUACUGUUGUUAAUGCAGGCUCACAGCUUCUGAAGCCUUGUUUGUAUUCAAGUACUUCCCUUCUAUGAUAUGGUAAUAUGAUCAGGUUUUAAAACAGGUAACAUAGGAGUUGCAGGAGUUACUUGUUAUGAAUAUAUUAUCCUGUGUAUUUAACUUGUUUGUUUGUGAACUGAGCAUGAAGCAUAUAAAGGUACUUGCUAUUCAUAACUAUUCACUAAAUAAUGACUAAAUCACUAAAUAAAAAUCUUCAGUC